ensembl:lncRNA novel transcript
CAUGCCUGUAAUACCAACACUUUGGGAGGCCGAGGCAGGUGGAUCAUGAGCUUUUUGUAAAGACAGGAGUCUCACUCUGUUGCCCAGGCUGGUCUCUAACUCCUGGCCCCAAAUGAUCCUCCCAUCUCAGCCUCUCAAAGCUCUGGGAUUGCAGGUGUGAAUCAUCUCACCUAGCCAGCAAGUGAUACAGCUGAAAGAAAACAAUUUGACUCUAUAAAGCACUGAGAUGUUUUUGACUUGAAACAAGCACCAAAGUCUCAGUCGUUUAUCCAGAAUCACAGCCUCCCUGAGAUGAAAGGAGCCUAAGAGAUCAUCAAGUCAGUGUGACAUGAUUUGCAAGGAUACCAGAUGAUCAACUCAAGGCUCCAAAAAGUUGAGACAGAACUUGAAUGAUGGUCUCCUGGCUUGUAAUCUUCUACACAACGUGCCAUCAAAUGGAUCAUUUGGGGGUGAUAUAUUCACAAGAAUUUGGCCAAGUUGGCAAAUA